rnacentral:rRNA from 1 species
AGUCGAACGGCAGCACGGACUUCGGUCUGGUGGCGAGUGGCGAACGGGUGAGUAAUGUAUCGGAACGUGCCUAGUAGCGGGGGAUAACUACGCGAAAGCGUGGCCAAUACCGCAUACGCCCUCGGGGAAAGCGGGGACCUUCGGGCCUCGCACUAUUAGAGCGGCCGAUAUCGGAUUAGCUAGUUGGUGGGGUAACGGUCACCAAGGCGACGAUCCGUAGCUGGUUUGAGGACGACCAGCCACACUGGGACUGAGACACGGCCCAGACUCCUACGGGAGGCAGCAGUGGGGAAUUUUGACAAUGGGGGGACCUCUGAUCCAGCCAUCCCGCGUGUGCGAUGAAGGCCUCGCUAAAGCACUUUUGGUAGGAAAGAAACGGCACGGGAUAAUACCCCGUGCAACUGACGGUACCUGCAGAAUAAGCACCGGCUAACCACGUACAGCAGCCGCGGUAAUACGUAGGGUGCAAGCGUUAAUCGGAAUUACUGGGCGUAAAAGCGUGCGCAGGCGGUUCGGAAAGAAAGAUGUGAAAAUCCCAGAGCUUAACUUUUGGAACUGCAUUUUUAACUACCGAGCUAGGAGUGUGUCAGAGGGAGGUGGAAUUCCAUGUAGCAGUGAAAUGCAGAUAAGGAGGAACACCGAUGGCGAAGGCAGCUCCUGGGAUAACACUGACGCUCAUGCACGAAAGCGUGGGAGCAAACAGGAUUAGAUACCCUGGUAGUCCACGCCCUAAACGAUGUCAACUAGCUGUUGGGGCCUCGCCUUGGUAGCGCAGCUAACGUGUGAAGUUGACCGCCUGGGGAGUACGGUCGCAAGAUUAAAACUCAAAGGAAUUGACGGGGACUCCGCACAAGCGGUGGAUGAUGUGGGAUUAAUUCGAUGCAACGCGAAAACCCAUCACCUCUUGACAUGUCUGGAAUCCCGAAGAGAUUUUGGGAGUGCUCGCAAGAGAACCGGAACACAGGUGCUGCAUGGCUGUCGUCAGCUCGUGUCGUGAGAUGUUGGGGUUAAGUCCUGCAACGAGCGCAACCUUGUCAUUAGUUGCUACGAAAGGGCACUCUAAUGAGACUGCCGGUGACAAACCGGAGGAAGGUGGGGAUGACGUCAAGUCCUCAUGGCUCCCAUGGGUAGGGUCACCACGUCAUACAAUGGUCGGGACAGAGGGUCGCCAACCCGCGAGGGGGGAGCCAAUCCCAGAAACCCGAUCGUAGUCCGAUCGCAGUCUGCAACUCGACUGCGUGAAGUCGGAAUCGCUAGUAAUCGCGGAUCAGCAUGUCGCGGUGAAUACGUUCCCGGUCUUGUACACACUGCCCGUCACACCAUGGGAGUGGGUUUUACCAGAAGCGGUUAGCCUAACCGUAAGGAGGGCGAUUACCACACGGUGGAUUCAAUAUUCUGGGGUGAAGUCGUAACAAGGUAA